rnacentral:lncRNA from 1 species
CUUCCCUUCUGAAACUCUACAUGCCUCUUGCGGACAACUUCAUAACUCUCCUGCUGACUCACAGCAGUUCUGAUUCUUCUCAUCCUCUGACUAUGCAGCUCUUACUCCUUUUCUCUGCCUCUGAUUUUCCUCUCUUGACUCAAGAUGUAUUGCAAGCUCUUUCGAUCUGUAAGGAUCUGUCCUCAUACCUUAUACAGGUAUCGCCUCCACAUCUUGAGUGCAA